UCUCCGUUGGUGAACCAGCGGAGGGAUCAUUAUCGAGUUUAUAACUCCCAAACCCUAUGUGAACUUACCACUUGUUGCUUCGGCGCGCGCUUCGGUGCCGCCGAGGACACUUAAACUCUUUGUUUUUAUAAGCAUUUCUGAGUGGCCGAAAGGCAAAACACAAAUGAAUCAAAACUUUCAACAACGGAUCUCUUGGCUCUCACAUCGAUGAAGAACGCAGC
rnacentral:misc_RNA from 1 species